GAUGAACGCUGGCAGUAUGCUUAACACAUGCAAGUCGUACGGAGUAAAUGUAGCAAUAUGUUUAUUUAGUGGCGGACGGGUGAGUAACACGUAAGAAUCUUCCCUGAAGUGCGGUAUAACCUUUGGAAACGAUGGUUAAUCCCGCAUAUGAAAUUUUUUGAAAGAGCAAUCGCUUCAGGAUGAGCUUGCGUCUGAUUAGCUAGUUGGUGAGGUAAAGGCUCACAAAGGCGAUGAUCAGUAGCUGGUUUGAGAGAAUGAUCAGCCACACUGGGACUGAGACACGGCCCAGACUCCCGCGGGAGGCAGCAGUGGGGAAUUUUUCGCAAUGGGCGCAAGCCUGACGGAGCAAUACUGCGUGGAGGAUGAAGGCUCGUGAGCUGUAAACUCCUUUUCCCAGAGAAGAAGUUCUGACGGUAUCUGGGGAAUAAGCAUUGGCUAACUACGUGCCAGCAGCUGCGGUAAUACGUGGAAUGCAAGCGUUAUCCGGAUUUAUUGGGCGUAAAGCGUCUGUAGGUGGCUUCGCAAGUUUGCUGUUAAAUUGUUCGGCUCAACCGAAUCCCAGCAGCAAAAACUAUGAAGCUUGAGUGCGGUAGAGGAAAAGGGAAUUCCCUGUGGAGCGGUGAAAUGCGUAGAGAUAGGGAAGAACACCAACGGCGAAAGCACUUUUCUGGGCCUGCACUGACACUGAGAGACGAAAGCUAGGGGAGCGACUGGGAUUAGAUACCCCAUUAGUCCUAGCCGUAAACGAUGGAAACUACAUUUUGGGAUUUUAUAUUUUUCAGAAUGGUAGCUAACGCGUUAAGUUUCCCGCCUGGGAAGUAUGCUCGCAAGAGUGAAACUCAAAGGAAUUGACGGGAGCCCGCACAAGCGGUGGAUUAUGCGGUUUAAUUCGAUGCAACACGAAGAACCUUACCAGGGUUCGACAUGUCACGAAGGAGAGAGAAAACUUUCCGUGCUUACCCCUCGGGGUUUGAAUGUGAACACAGGUGGUGCAUGGCUGUCGUCAGCUCGUGUCGUAAGAUGUUGUGUUAAGUCACGCAACGAGCGCAACCCUCGUGCUUUGUUCAAUUCGUCAAAGCAGACUGCUGGUGAGAAAUCAGAGGAAGGUGAGGAUGAUGUCAAGUCAGCAUGCCCCUUACGCCCUGGGCUACACGCGUAAUACAAUGGCCAGUACAAAGAGAUGCAACGGGGCGACCCCAAGCUAACCUCAAAAAGCUGGUCUCAGUUCAGAUUGCAGGCUGCAACUCGCCUGCAUGAAGGUGGAAUCGCUAGUAAUCGCCGGUCAGCUAUACGGCGGUGAAUCCGUUCCCGGGCUU
rnacentral:rRNA from 1 species